rnacentral:misc_RNA from 1 species
GUAUCUAGUGGCAAACGGGUGAGUAACAUGUAGGCGACCUGCCCUGGAGAAGGGGAUAACAGCUCGAAAGAGGUGCUAAUACCCUAUAUGCUCACAGAGGUUAGAGGCACAGUGAGGAAAGGUGAAGACGCUCCGGGAGGGGCCUGCGGCCCAUCAGGUAGUUGGUGAGGUCACGGCUCACCAAGCCGGGGAAGGGUAGGGGGCUUGAGAGGGUGGUCCCCCACACGGGCACUGAGAGACGGGCCCGAGGUCAUACGGGAGGCAGCAUUCCGAUCUUGCGGAAAACUCGAG